UAAGAGUGAUGAUUUAUUAAUUAAUUUCUAAUUAAUUAAUAAAUAUCAGAUUAUUUUGUAUUCUAUUUGUAUAUAUUUUUAUUUCAGCUUAUUAGAUAAGUGUAUGGCCAUUCAGGUGUAACAGAUAGUGCUACCCUGUUAUUUGCCUUUAGGGUUAUAAUUAAGGUCCUGGCCAUAAGUUAUAUAAGUCAUUUGUUUCUAUUGGGUUUUAGUUUUGUGUUCUUGUGUUUUAUUGGUUUGUCAAAUUCCCUCCAAAGUGUUCUUGGUCUUUCUGGUCACUCUUUGUCCAGAUUGUUUGUAGAGAGAUUCCAUUGAUUUUGUUCAUGACAAAUUUGACAUUCUGACUGAGACUCUCUUCAUCUUCUGGUAAGUUAAUAUUUAUUUACUAACUUUAACAUAUCUUUAAUAUAUAUUUUAUUAAAUGUCAAAUCUGUAAUUCUUGCAAUAUUAAUUUCCAUAGCACUUUUGCACAGUAAGAGAGAUUUUGGAAGUCAGAUUUUUACUUAGUUAUUAGCAGUAAAGUUAGGGUAUUUUAUGAUCUAGAUAAUAUGAACAUGUGUUUUAUGAUCAGAGAAUUAUAUAAGGUUUAUGAUAAUUUAAAGUUAUCAUCUGGACUCCCAGCCUUGUACUACUUGUAUGAUAUUUAACCAUGGGAGCUUGCCUAUUCCCUCAGAAUGGGCAAUAGUGAAUAUAUUUAUUUCUGCCACCAUUAAUAAACAGUACGAACCCU